UCCCUGGUGGUCCAGUGGUUAGGACGCCACGCUUCCACUACGGGGGGCUCAGGUUUGAUCCCUGGUCGGGGAG
rnacentral:tRNA from 1 species